AUUGAACGCUGGCGGCAUGCCUUACACAUGCAAGUCGAACGGUAACAGGUCUUCGGAUGCUGACGAGUGGCGAACGGGUGAGUAAUACAUCGGAACGUGCCCGAUCGUGGGGGAUAACGGAGCGAAAGCUUUGCUAAUACCGCAUACGAUCUACGGAUGAAAGCAGGGGACCGCAAGGCCUUGCGCGGACGGAGCGGCCGAUGGCAGAUUAGGUAGUUGGUGGGAUAAAAGCUUACCAAGCCGACGAUCUGUAGCUGGUCUGAGAGGACGACCAGCCACACUGGGACUGAGACACGGCCCAGACUCCUACGGGAGGCAGCAGUGGGGAAUUUUGGACAAUGGGCGAAAGCCUGAUCCAGCCAUGCCGCGUGCAGGAUGAAGGCCUUCGGGUUGUAAACUGCUUUUGUACGGAACGAAAAGACUCCUUCUAAUAAAGGGGGUCCAUGA
rnacentral:rRNA from 1 species